GUUCAGUGACUUCGUUUUUUGGGGGGAAGGGGGCGGGUCAGUGACUUUUUCGAUGAUGUCCGCAACUUUGGGGGGGAAGGGAAAGGAAUCAGUGACUUUUUCAUUGGGGGUCUGACUAUUCCGGAGUGAUCAGUGACUUUUUCAACAGGUCAGCAACUUUUUAUUUUAUGGGGGGAAGUGAGUUGGUUAUUUCUCUGCACAUUGCACAGCGUUAACCCGGUAGCUGCGGGGAUCAUGCUUCUUAAAGGCCCCUCCAAGGGAGAAUAAUGAGAAAAAAUCAGGAAUGAGGAAGUUAAGGAAGAAUUUAUAGAGUUCAGUAAAAUUAGAUGGCAAAAAUGAAUAAUCUGUGCACGAUGAGAAAGUUAAGGAAGAAUUUAUAAAGAGUUCAGUAAAAUUAAAUGGUAAAAAUGAAUGAUAUGUGAAUAAUGAUGAAGUUAAGGAAGGAUUUAUAAAGAGUUCAGUAAAAUUAAUUGGUGAAAAUGAAUGAUAUGUGAAUAAUGAUGAAGUUAAGGAAGGAUUUAAAUAGAGAUCAGUAAAAUUAAUUGGUGAAAAUGAAUGAUAAUUAUGUGGAUGAUGAGGAAGUUAAGGAAGGAUUUAUAAAGAGAUCAUUAAAAUUAAUUGGUGAAAAUGAAUGAUAUAUGUGCACGAUGAGGAAGAUAACUAUAGAUUUUAAUAAGUUACGGGGUCAGACUAAAUUAUCCAUGUAGAAAGAUAACAGUAAUUGAGGAUUAAUAAAAGUACAUACAAUUUCAAUGGGAUAAACUGAAUAAUCUGCAUAGAAUGAUAACAAUGGGGGAUUUCUAAACAUGAGCUUUGUUAGGAAAAAAAUUAGGUCAUAAGAAAUCAUAUAAGAAUUUCUGAAUGCUAGAAUAUUAUACUUCAAUGAGGCUUCCACAAACUAUUUAUUGGGUGAACUUAAGUCACUUUUGGAACUAAUGAAGCUUUUUGAUAAUGAAAACGUUACCCCCGGAAGUGUAUUUUGCUAUUCAACGAGAGUGAUAAAGAAUAUAAUGAGUGAUAUAUUAAUGUUAUGUUGUGUUUUGUGCUAGUCUUGUGGGUGAGGAGAAGGUUAGAGUAUUAUGGAGGGUGGGGAGAAAUACAUAGAAAAAACUAAAUAAUAUAUAAUGAAUAAAGUUUGAAUAGGAGAUAGAGGUUUAAUAAAAAAAAAUGUUAUCAGUUGUUAUAUGUAUAGAUGAGUGUGUGUGUGUGUGUGUGUGUGUGUGUGUGUGUAUAUGCGUGUGUGUGUGUGUGUGUGUGUGUGUGUGUGUUUUUGCCUAUAUGUUCCUACUUAUUUGUAUUACUGGAUAAAAUGAAGCUUUUUCCGUCUCAUAAUGUGCGUGUAUGUGUGUGUGUGUGUGUGUGUGUGUGUGUGUGUGUGUGUGUGUUCCUGGUGGUGGUUAGUGUCAGAGCAGAGGUUAGUGGCCGGGUGUGUGUAUCUUGCAGGAAUGAGGCAAUUAUAAAGCUAUUUAUUGUAUUUUAAGUUAAGUUCUUUAUUUAGGUAUUUAAGACAAGCUUUAUAUUUAACUACACUGCCAAAAUAGUUUACGGGCAUUGGCCUACUCAGGGUUGGGCAUUGGGGGCUGCAGCUCAGAGUGUUGUAUGAGUAUAUCAGUCAAUCAAGACACCUCUCCACCCGAAAUUGACCUCUCGUUUGGCCACUCUUUACUUUUGUCUAUAAUGUGAGCGGUGAGUAGCGAGCUUUUUUUUUCUACACUUUUUGUUGCCCUUGAGCCGUCUCCUUUGUUAAAAAAAUCAACAAAUGGGGGCAUACGCAGGGCCGGGGUGCGUCGCCUCCUAAAAAGUCUCGUCUCCAGGCAGGCUCCCUUGCAGGUUCAUCUUCCCAUCCUGCAUUCAUGGCCACUCACUACUCUGGUGGAAACGUAAAAAUUAUUUGGCCAUGCUGAGCCCCCAGUGUUUCAAGUUCCCAAGUACCCCCCUGUUUACCAGCAUUACGAACACUGCAUAUUGGUAUAUAUAGUUUUCAUUUAUAUAUUUGUUUAUUCCUUUUUUUUAUUUAUUUAUCUAGUUUUGGGUGGACUUAGUGUAAAGAAUGAGUAGUAUUAGCUAGGUGAACACUUGGGUUCUGCACAAGAAACAUUGCAUCCUAAGUUUGUUUCAUCAGGGCCACAGAGUAAUUUAAACUUCUGUGUGACUUCUGAGUAGCCUUGAUCUAAAUGCUGAAUCUUCCCACAUGUCUAUAGAUGUACGUCUGCAAACAGUUCCCUUGUAUGCAUGGUGGCUAUGGGGGGAGGGGCUGGAGAGAGUUAAAGGUGGCUACAGAAUUUUUCAAAGAGAGGGUCAGGGAAGGCUUGGCUCUGUAUGACAUGGAGGUGGCUUGUGAGGAAGGGACAAGGUGAAAUAAUUGGACUGAGAAUAGUUUAUGAUAACAAGGUAUUGGUGAGAGCUGGGAAGAGUUGGCAGUGGCUACAGAAUCCUUCAGAGAGAGGGGAGGGGAGGGGAGGCUGCCUUGGUAUGACAGCAGAGGGCUGGGUUGUAUCGUGAGAAAAGAACAUCAUUUCUUUAUUAAUUAAUUUGAACAAGAACAAUUGAAAGACAAGUUAGCUACGUAUAUGAACAACUAGAGUUGGAAGAAACAGUACUUGAUAAUUUGAGGGAGAAGAGAAAUAAAUAUGAUGAAAAAUCUAUAUAAAAAAGUACACAAAAUAAUGAAUGAAUGUCUAUUAGUGCAGGAAAUGUGAACCUUAUAUGCUUUCCUCUUUUGUGAUAACUCCUGUGCCUUACAAUUUUAUUUAUCUAUUUAUUUAUUCAUGUAGCCUAUAUGUUCAAAACACAAACCUCACCUUCACCCUCAUCAACAAACUGCGUAAGUCAUUUUCCCUACUUUUUGGGUCAGAAAAUGCAAGAGGUUCACUACGCUUUAUUCCGCUCAAGAAAAGAACAAUUCCACGGUGUAUGUUUUCCCUCCAAAGCCCUGCAGUCUAUGGAAAGCUAAUCAUAUUUUUGUAUCCUAAUAAAUGCCCGAGCAAAGGUGUUUUCAUUGUUAUUUCUGUUGUCGUUUAUGUAAUUCUUUGAUGUGAGAGGAAGUGAGAGGAGAAGAACUAGAAGAAGAGAGAGUUUGAGUGUUUUAUAGUGAGAGAAUCAGUCUUCCCUUCCUAUUGUGGUUUAUUAAGUUUAGAUUUAAUUGUGAGAGGAAAUGAGAUGAGAGAAAAAGAAAGAACUUGAGUGUUUUAUAAUAGGAGGAUCAAUGGAGUCAGUCUUUCCCUCCUUUUGUGGUUUAUUAAGUUAAUGUUUAAUUGUGCGAGGAGGUGAGAUGAGAGAAAAAUAAAGGAAAAAUGGACAUGAGUAUUUUGUAGUGAGAGAACUGAGUCGUGUCUUUCCUUCCUAUUGUGGUUUAGUUUGUUUUAUUUGGAGAGGAAGCGAGAUGAGAGAAAGAUUGAAAGAACUGAGCCGUGUCUUUUCAACUUAGUAUUGUGGUUUAUUUUGUUUUAGUGUGAGAGGAAGCAAGAGAGGAAGAUUAAAAAAACUGAGCCAUGUCUUUUCAACUUAGUAUUGUGGUUUAUUUUGUUUUAGUGUGAGAGGAAGCUAGAAAGAAAGAUUAAAAAAACUGAGCCAUGUCUUUUCAACUUAGUAUUGUGGUUUAUUUUGUUUUAUUGUGAGAGGAAGCUAGAAAGAUUAAAAAGAGCUGAAUAUUUUAUAGUAAGAAAUCCCAGUGUCUUUCUCUCCUUCCCGCACACAGAAUCCCAAGAAAGCAGUAUUUGAAAGAGGAUCUGAAUAUAUAUUGUUUAAUUAAUAUCUUGAUCACCAGUAGAUAAAUGAGUUGUUUUUUAUGAUGAUUGUGACGAAUAGUUUUUUUCUUGUGAAUCGAUUAUCUCAUUUUUUUCCAUAACAUUCCGCUGCACAUUAUUAUACUAACCAAUGUAUACUUCUUUUAAUUUAUAUGUAUAUCUUAUUUUAUCUGUUGAUUUGUGUUGAUUGAUUGCUAUUUUCUGUUUAACUAUCUUGUAUUUCUUGUAUUACCAUUUAGGCAUUAUUUGUUGUUAGUUGUUAAUUUGGUAGAUUCCAGUGGUGAUUUGAGUGCUGUGAGGGGGCUAGGGGGCGGGGGUCUAAUGAGGGAGAAAAGUUAUUAAGGGGGUGUCCUAUAUGGGGGGAAAAGUUUUAAGGGGGGCAUCCUAUGAGAGGGAAAAGUUUUAAGGGGGGCAUCCUAAGAGAGGGAAAGGUUAUUAAGGGGGGUGUCCUAUGAGGGGGAAAAGUUAUUAAGGGGAGCAUCCAGUGACCAUACAGACUGAUUUGUACAACUGGCAAAAGAAGUAUUCCCAGGUUUCCCCAGGUAUCCAUUUAUCAACCAGUCUGAAAGGAAGCAUGAACAGUUGGGUGAGCUGCAUGGUGACUGCCCGGGCUGGAAUUCAACCUGGGCCAGCAGAUUGGUAGCUAGGCAUGUUAACCACUAGACCAGCGGUUCCCAAACUUUUCUGGUGCGGCCCUAAAUACAGUCUUGACCUGACCUUGCGACCCUAAAAGCAUGAACGUAUUGUAUUUGAUUAUUACCAUUCAUUUUAAUAUGUUACUUUACAAGAAUCUUCAUGCCAUCCUACUGAACCUAAAUUGGACCGAACAGUGACUUAAGGAAUCAAUCUCUAUAUCAUGAUGGAAGUAUAAUUGAUGCUUUUUUUCCAAGAUCCUCAAGUGACCCUCAGAAAUACUCUCACGCCCCCGCUACACUAGACCGAUGGUGUUUAAUUCAUACUUCUUUUGUUAAUUGUACAUUGCAGUCUCUUCCUCUCAAUUCCAUAUCAGAGAAUCUAACUCUUCUCAUAAGGGUUCCUCUCCCUCUCCCCUCCCCCUGGUCCUCUUAUAACUCCACCACUGUUAGUUAUCCUAUACUUAUAACUUUGAUUCUGUUAUGAUUUACCCAAUGUAAGGUAGGUGACCAUACUACUAACAAACAAUAGUAUAGAUAGAAGAAUGAUGAUGCUAACCUAAUCCACGCUUGUCGUAGUUAUAUUAGCGGCUUAAAGAGUAUAUUUUGUUCUUCUGAAGAGCAUAGCAACUGAUUUAUCCUUUCUUUUACCUGUAUAUUCCCCUAACUCACCAAUAUCACAGGUGUUUAUUCUCUCCACCAGUGUAUAUUUGCUUCGUAGUUGAUUUGAGUUGACGCCACAAAACCCUAACCCAUUUUCUAUAACAUACCCCGUUUUCUUUAAUUAUACACCAUUUUACUGAUUGAUGGUUCUCGUGUUAUAUUUCUGGAGCAUCAUUUUUCUUCCCCCCUCCAGCCUCUAUUCCUGCAUGCUGCCUGACCUGACCAACCUGCUGUAUUUUAGUUGUAUAAGAGUUACCACUAUUAAAUCUUACGCUACCAA